rnacentral:rRNA from 1 species
UACGUAGGGGGCAAGCGUUGUUCGGAAUUACUGGGCGUAAAGGGCGCGUAGGCGGCACAGCAAGUCGGGAGUGAAAGCCCGGGGCUCAACCCCGGAACGGCUUUCGAAACUGCUGAGCUAGAGUACAAAAGGGGCAACCGGAAUUCCCAGUGUAGCGGCGAAAUGCGUAGAUAUUGGGAAGAACACCUGAGGCGAAGGCGGGUUGCUGGGCUGAUACUGACGCUGAGGCGCGAAAGCGUGGGGAGCAAACAGG